GCAAGUUUUUAAGGGCGCACGGUGGAUGCCUUGGCAUCAGGAGCCGAUGAAGGACGCGGUAAUCUGCGAUAAGCCUCGGGGAGCUGAUAAACGAGCUGUGAUCCGAGGGUCUCCGAAUGGGGAAACCCCACUACGUGUUAUGCGUGGUGACCCGCACCUGAAUUCAUAGGGUGUGUGGAGGGAACGUGGGGAAGUGAAACAUCUCAGUACCCACAGGAAGAGAAAACAACAGUGAUUCCGUCAGUAGUGGCGAGCGAACGCGGAAGAGGCCAAACCGAUGGUGUGUGAUACCCGGCAGGGGUUGCAUCAUCGGGGUCGUGGGGCGUGUCGUCCCGGGUCUGCCGGCCCGGGCGUGUGAGUGCAGGGCGAUAGUCGAACCGGUGUGAGUGCCGGACCGGAGAGGGUGAGAGUCCCGUAGACGAAAUCGUUGCUGCCGCACGGUACGCGUACCCAAGUAGCACGGGGCCCGAGAAAUCCCGUGUGAAUCUGCCAGGACCACCUGGUAAGCCUAAAUACUACCUGAUGACCGAUAGCGGACUAGUACCGUGAGGGAAAGGUGAAAAGUACCCCGGGAGGGGAGUGAAAUAGUACCUGAAACCGUGUGCCUACAAACCGUCGGAGCCCUACAAGGUGACGGCGUGCCUUUUGAAGAAUGAGCCUGCGAGUUAGUGUUACGUCGCGAGGUUAACCCGUGAGGGGUAUCCGUAGCGAAAGCGAGUCUGAACAGGGCGAGUGAGUGGCGUGAUCUAGACCCGAAGCGAAGUGAUCUACCCAUGGCCAGGUUGAAGCGCGUGUAAGAGCGCGUGGAGGACCGAACCCACUUCAGUUGAAAAUGGAGGGGAUGAGCUGUGGGUAGGGGUGAAAGGCCAAUCAAACUCCGUGAUAGCUGGUUCUCCCCGAAAUGCAUUUAGGUGCAGCGUUACGUGUUUCUUGCCGGAGGUAGAGCUACUGGAUGGCCGAUGGGCCCUACAAGGUUACUGACGUCAGCCAAACUCCGAAUGCCGGUAAGUUUAAGCGCGGCAGUGAGACUGCGGGCGAUAAGGUUCGUAGUCGAGAGGGAAACAGCCCAGACCACCAACUAAGGCCCCUAAGCGUGUGCUAAGUGGGAAAGGAUGUGGAGUUGCUUAGACAACCAGGAGGUUGGCUUAGAAGCAGCCACCCUUGAAAGAGUGCGUAAUAGCUCACUGGUCAAGUGAUUCCGCGCCGACAAUGUAGCGGGGCUCAAGUACACCGCCGAAGUUGUGGCAUUGCACCAAUGAUACCCAACCGGUCUUCGGACCGGUUCAGGUGGUGCGAUGGGUAGGGGAGCGUCGUGUGGGCAGUGAAGCUGCGGGGUGACCCAGUGGUGGAGCCCACACGAGUGAGAAUGCAGGCAUGAGUAGCGAAUGAGGAGUGAGAAACUCCUCCACCGAAAGACCAAGGGUUCCAGGGUCAAGCUAAUCUGCCCUGGGUCAGUCGGGACCUAAGGCGAGGCCGACAGGCGUAGUCGAUGGACAACGGGUUGAUAUUCCCGUACCGGCGAAGAACCGCCCCUAUCGAACCGGGGACACUAACCACCCGAACCGGGCCAUGCGGUGACCAUUGGUCGCCGCCGGCACCGGGGAGCGUGGGACCUGAACCGGGGAGGUAAGCGUAUUAACAGGUGUGACGCAGGAAGGUAGCCGAGCCGGGCGAUGGUAGACCCGGUCUAAGCGUGUAGGGCGAUCCGUUGGCAAAUCCGCGGAUCAUUGAGCCUGAGACGUGACGGGACCCCCAUUCGUGGGGGGAUUCGGUGAUCCUAUGCUGCCGAGAAAAGCAUCGACGCGAGGUUCCAGCCGCCCGUACCCCAAACCGACACAGGUGAUCAGGUAGAGAAUACUAAGGCGAUCGAGAGAAUCAUGGUUAAGGAACUCGGCAAAAUGCCCCCGUAACUUCGGGAUAAGGGGGGCCGGACACGUCACUUGCACUUGCUGCGGGUUGGCGUUGAAGGCCGCAGAGACCAGGCCCAAGCGACUGUUUACUAAAAACACAGGUCCGUGCUAAGUCGUAAGACGAUGUAUACGGACUGACGCCUGCCCGGUGCUGGAACGUUAAGGGGAAGUGUUAGUCGCAAGGCGAAGCACUGAACUUAAGCGCCAGUAAACGGCGGUGGUAACUAUAACCAUCCUAAGGUAGCGAAAUUCCUUGUCGGGUAAGUUCCG
rnacentral:rRNA from 1 species